UGAUUGAUAGCUCAGUCAGUAGAGCAUGAGACUCAUCAUCUCAGGGUCAUGGGUUUGAGCCCUAUGUUGGGCAA